CUAAAACAAAUACACAAGAAAAAAAAAACAAGCCCAUCAAAAAAUGGGCAAAAGAUAUGAACAGACACUUUUCAAAAGAAGACAUUUAUGGGGCCAGCAAGCAUGAAAAACUGCUUAUUGGCCGGGCAAGGUGGCUCAAGCCUGUAAUCACAGCACUUUGGGAGGCUGAGGCAGGUGGAUCAUGAGGUCAAGAGAUCGAGACCAUCCUGGUCAACAUGGUGAAAACCUGUCUCUACUAAAAAUACAAAAAAUUAGCUGGGCAUGGUGGCGCGUGCCUGUAAUCCCAGCUACUCAGGAGGCUGAGGCAGGAGAAUUGCCUGAACCCAGGAGGCGGAGGUUGCGGUGAGCCGAGAUCGCACCAUUGCACUCCAGCCUGGGUAACAAGAGCGAAACUCUGUGUAAAAAAAAUAAAAAAUAUAACCUGGCUCUUUUUUACUCUUACCAAAGCUCCCAAGCUAGAAAAUGAUCUCCUUUCCUCACACCGUAAUCAAUCAGUGGCCACUCCUCUUACGUCACUACUGGGCCUGUAUCUUUCUGUCAUCUUCAACUCUGUUGCCUUGGUUUAAGUCAGGGGCUGACCACCUUUCUCUAUAAAGGGCCAAAUAGUAAAUAUUUUAAGCUUUACAGGCCAUACGGCCUCUGUUGAAACUACCUACUUCUAUCGUUGCAAUGCGAAACAGCUCUGAAUAAUGUGUAAAUAAAUAAAAGUGGCUGGGUUCCAAUAAAACUAUGUAUGGACAUUGAAAGUUGACUUUUACAUAAUUUUUACAUAUCGUGACACAUUAUUCUUCUUUUGAUUUUGUUCAACCACUAAAAAAUGUAAAAUGCACUCUUAGCUUAUAGACCUACAAAAACAGAUGACAAGCCAGAUUUGGACCACGGGUAGCAGUUGGGCAACUCCUACCUUGAGACAUGACAACUGCCUGAAACGAUCUUCAUUCCGCCUGGGUGUUCCCCUCUGAUCAUGUGCUGUGGUGCUAUUACAGUCAUAUUCCUAAGAAAGAAGCUGGGAGCGCCAGCAGUCCCCAUUACUCUGAGAGUAAGUGAUAUGGUUUGGCCAUGUCCCCACCCAAAUCUCACCUUAAAUUUUUAAUAAUCCCCAUGUGUCGAGUGCGGGACCAGGUGGAGAUAAUUGAAUCAUGCCCACACUGUUAUCGAAGCAGUGAAUGAGUUUCACGAGAUCUGAUGGUUUUAUAAAUGAGAGUUCCCCUGCGAAAGCUCUCUUGCCCACCGCCACGGAAGAAGCCCCUUAGCUGUUCCUUCAUCUUCUGCCAUCAUUGUGAGGCCUCCCAGCCAUGUGUAACUGUGAGUCCAUUAAAUCUCUUUCCUUUAUAAAUUACACAGUCUCAGGUAUGUCUUUUUUAGCAGCAUGAGAACAGGCUAAUACAGUAAGGUUCUCAACCUUGGCACAAUUUAUAUAUGGGGCUGGAUAAUUCCUUGUUUUAGGGAUUGUUCUGUGCAUUUAGAAUGCUUAGCAGAAUCCCUGGCCUUCACCUAAUAGAUGCCAGUAGCAUCCCCAACUUCCUGGGAGCGAUGGGCAAAGACAUAGCUGGGCAAAAUUGCCCCGAUCGACAGCC
rnacentral:lncRNA from 1 species